rnacentral:rRNA from 1 species
CCUACGGGAGGCAGCAGUGGGGAAUAUUGGACAAUGGGGGAAACCCUGAUCCAGCAAUGCCGCGUGAGUGAUGAAGGCCUUAGGGUCGUAAAGCUCUUUUACCAGGGAUGAUAAUGACAGUACCUGGAGAAUAAGCUCCGGCUAACUCCGUGCCAGCAGCCGCGGUAAUACGGAGGGAGCUAGCGUUGUUCGGAAUUACUGGGCGUAAAGCGUGCGUAGGCGGUUAUUCAAGUCAGAGGUGAAAGCCCGGGGCUCAACCCCGGAACGGCCUUUGAAACUAGAUAACUAGAAUCUUGGAGAGGUCAGUGGAAUUCCGAGUGUAGAGGUGAAAUUCGUAGAUAUUCGGAAGAACACCAGUGGCGAAGGCGACUGACUGGACAAGUAUUGACGCUGAGGUACGAAAGCGUGGGGAGCAAACAGGAUUAGAUACCCUGGUAGUCCACGCCGUAAACGAUGAUAACUAGCUGUCCGGACACUUGGUGUUUGGGUGGCGCAGCUAACGCAUUAAGUUAUCCGCCUGGGGAGUACGGUCGCAAGNUUAAAACUCAAAGGAAUUGACGG